AGCUCCAAUAGCGUAUAUUAAAGUUGCUGCAGUUAAAAAGCUCGUAGUUGGAUCUCGGGGUACCUGGUCUAGCCGGUAUAGCUCACGCUAAAACUGGUCUGACCCCCAACGUGAGGGAAUCCGCCUCGGGUGCCCCUUCUUGGGUGGUCGUGAGGGGGCCUCGUAGUUACUGUGAAAAAAUUAGAGUGUUCAAAGCAGGCUCAUAUGUUCGGAUAGUCGUGCAUGGAAUAACUGAAUACGUGACUGGCGCUUUUCAGUUGGUCUCGGCGACUGGUCAAAUGAUUAAGAGGGACUGCCGGGGGCAUUGGUAUGGCGGGGUUAGAGGUGAAAUUCUUGGAUCCUCGCCAGACCAACAAAAGCGAAAGCAUUUGCCAAGAAUGUCUUCA
rnacentral:rRNA from 1 species